ACUUAACCGCUGCGCCACCAGACUGGCCCAGGAUUAAGUGUUUAUUAAAAGUGCUCACAACAGUGCCUGGCGCUCAGUGAACGCUCACAUUUGCCAAGUCUACCAUGGCAACCCCAGGACUCCAAAACAGAACAAUAGAAAACCUAUCUCACUGGGACUUUUCUUUUUAGAACAAGGAUGAGAAACACAAGAGGAAACGACUGCCAAAGGGCUCGAGCUGCUCCUCAGGUGGAGGGACUCUUGAAGCCAGCAGCCACGCUCGCGGCAUCAGUCCAUGUCUGUUUAUAAAAGUUACAUGCCCAGUUUCUGCUAAGAGAGUACUCUGGCCCCUGUGGGGGGCCAGCCCAUGGAUGGGACGGAAACUCAACGCUCCAACAGCCUCAGGCCACUAAUAUUCAGUCCAAGAAGCUGACUGCCUGGUUCCACAGUCCUGAGGCUCAGAUGAUGUCUUCCUGGGAGACCUGACUGCAUGGACAGUACAAGCUAGCCAAAGGCUACAUACAUCUUGUCCUUUGUUACUUCUCACUGAAAACUGGUAAGUUGGAAUUCUGGUUAAAAAACCCUGUAAUUAGUGGCUGAAACUUUCACCUAAAAUGAGUUUGCCAAAGCAAUCUGCCCCAGAAAUGGCCAGCAGCAGCAGGAUGAUGUUUCAUUAAUGCAUAAACUUCCCACUGACUCUUUCCAUCCUGUUCCUGUGGUGCUAGCAAGCAACUCCGCUAUACAGGCGUCUCUCUCCACACCUGGUGGUUGUACGUGUCUCGCCUCUCAAAUGAACUUCUCUAAGGCAGACUGGGCCCACUUCCCUCUUUUCCCCUGUACUUGGCAAAGCUUGAGGUACUGAUCCCAGCCCUCUUUCAGCUGCGAUCGUGAGGACACAGCUUCCCAUCAGCCCUUUCUACCUGAAGCUCUGUGGCCCAACCCCCUCUGCCACGGGGAACCCACUCCAAAGAUGGACCAUGGAGGCUGGCAGCUGUCAUCCACUCACCUCUCAACUCAUACUUUCAGGGAGUUAAAACUUAUAGCAGGAUGCACUCAAUAUCCCAUCAUCUGCCAAGAUCAUCUCCCAUAGCUAGAGAGUAAGUGGCCAUCUGAGGGAAAGGAGGAGGCCUGCACCCCCGAGGCAUGGGUGCGGAGUGCCCUGGGCUCCUCAUCAGGCAGGAAUCACGCGGCAGCGUGUGGAGCACUUGUUAAUCCGUAUGAUUUAUUAGCUGUACAGCAGUAGAUCCUCCUCCCCAGCUCUCAACCCCAUCACAUAUUUUAUUACAGGUCUCUUGUUGGCAUCCUAAAAUAAUGAAAAAUAUCACACAGUACAGCUAAGUACAAAAUGCA